UUUUUUUUUUUUUUUUUUUGGUCUUUCGCCUUUCAUUUUAUUUCGUAAUAUAUUUUUGAAUUCCAUGCAAAUUCAACCAGUAUAAAGAAAAGAUGCUUCUUCAUUCUCAUAUGUUUUCUGUUUCUUCAAUCUCUUGGGAUUUUUCCCUCUUCAAUCAAAAAGUGAAUUCAUGUCACUUGGCCAUGCGUUGUUUCACUACAGAGCUGAUGGACUGGUGGCUGACUACCUAUCUCAUAAUCUAGGACAUUACAAGUUUGGCACCCAUACCCUACCAUCAGUAUAAAAAUUGCCUUUCUUUAAAUUUUUUGUUUUCUAAUGUGGCAUUUGCAUAAAUUGUAUAAAUAUUUAGAUAUUUGUUAAUUCCUCUUCAUUUAUUAUCUUAUCUGCUCCAUUUAUGUUUAGAAGUAGGAAUUAUAUGCACUGUAAAAUUAAAAUAAAUAAAUAAAUAAGUACAGAAUUGUAGAACUACAUCCUAACUUUAAAAAAUUUCAGAUUUACACCAAAAGACCUCAAGAGCUGAAGAACUUGACCAUUUGCAGUGCAGCUAUAAGUAACAUUAUAUUGAUACUUAUUAAUGACUUGAAUUAAACGGGCAGAGAUGAAUGAGUGGGCAAAGUGAGAUGGGCAUACUUGGACUUGGACCAACUAUUGCUAAAAAGUUACAACUAACCAAUUAGUUAGCUGGACCUCCAACCUAAGGUAAUUAAAAGCGUAAGGCACACUCAAAGCAGUGUAUAAUCUCAUCGCUUAAAGGGCAAAAAAAGUGCUCACUUCAUUGGAGGAAGCGCAAAAUUAUUAAAAAAUUAACUAAUAAUAUAAUAUGCAAAGAAAAUACAAUUCUCUAUAUAAAAUUUAAAUCCUUAAGAAAUCAUUAAAUAUCCAAAAGUUUUUAGCAUUCAAAUUCAUAUUCAUAACCUAAAAAUCUUAACUAGAUUUCCUAUCAAAGUCCAAACACUUUCAUCCUCAUCUCCAAAAUAAGAUCAAUUUCUAUCAAAAUCUUCAUCUAAAUAAGUCUCAACAUCUUCCAACGUUGGUCUUGCAAUUAAGUGCAAAAUGCCCUCGCUUCACUAAACGCACUUCAAUUAGCAUAUGUAAAAGCGCUUUCCAUAUAGCCGACCCCAAAUUCU
rnacentral:misc_RNA from 1 species